rnacentral:rRNA from 2 species
UGGGGAAUAUUGGACAAUGGGCGCAAGCCUGAUCCAGCCAUGCCGCGUGAGUGAUGAAGGCCCUAGGGUUGUAAAGCUCUUUCACCGGUGAAGAUAAUGACGGUAACCGGAGAAGAAGCCCCGGCUAACUUCGUGCCAGCAGCCGCGGUAAUACGAAGGGGGCUAGCGUUGUUCGGAUUUACUGGGCGUAAAGCGCACGUAGGCGGACUUUUAAGUCAGGGGUGAAAUCCCGGGGCUCAACCCCGGAACUGCCUUUGAUACUGGAAGUCUUGAGUAUGGUAGAGGGGAGUGGAAUUCCGAGUGUAGAGGUGAAAUUCGUAGAUAUUCGGAGGAACACCAGUGGCGAAGGCGGCUCACUGGACCAUUACUGACGCUGAGGUGCGAAAGCGUGGGGAGCAAACAGG